GACGGUCUGUGCUUUUCGGCAGGAGUUCAUAUUCCCCGGGGCCUUAUUGAUCCCUAGGGAGCUGUCCCUGUCCGGGCUCGUGGGCCCGGGCACACGGCGCCCACCUACUUUGUAGGUUCCCGGGAUCGCUUCUCCACCGGUUGCCUGGAUCGUCG
rnacentral:other from 1 species